rnacentral:tRNA from 1 species
GGUUGUGGCUCAGUGGUAGAGCACUUGCCUAGUGUGUGUGAGGCACUGGGUUUGAUUCUCAGCACCG